ensembl:lncRNA
GAAAAAGGCACUCAACUCAAUCUGCAUAGCAGCCGCAUCCCUCAGUGGGGUGCUAUGCAAUCUGACUGCACUGUAUGAGACUGGCAGGUCAAAGAAUCUUUGGUAUCAGUGGCUGUUUCACAAACCACCCAGCUCAGUGAGGUAGCCACACUGGUUCUCACUACAAACAAAAGGUCCGUUUUAUCAGCUAAUGUACAUAUUGAUGCCGCUGAUUUGUGUAGCACAAAUCUGCUCUCUCUGAAUGCUCAUAAUCAGGCCCACAUGGAAUCUAUGUAUACGAUUUAUGCAGAUUUCCAUAGUCUGUCAUUUACAAAAUUCUGCACAUCUGCUGACCCUCGAACGUCCAUUUAUUAAAUAUUUUGGCUAAUUUGAUUAUUCUUUCAGCUACACAUUGCACCAUGUUUGAAUUAAUUCUGCUGAUUUCUCACCUGAAAUUUUUGCAGAUUCCGUCUGGGCCCACUUAUAAAUCAAUGCUCAGAGCAUCAUUGCAUUAACAGUGCUCACUUUUAUCUGUUCAGCAAGUCCUGCAACAUUUCCAGAAAUGCUACUUUUGCAUUCAAAGACACUAAAAAAAGACUCCUCUUCGAUUUUGAACAUCUCCCCAUGGAGAGCCAAGAGAGAGCAAUAUCUCUUUCACGGUCAGUGAAAGUCUCUUCUGUUAUGGCCUGUGGUAUUUCACAUGCAAUGCAGAGAUGUCCAUCUGCAGUCCUCCCAAGUUUGGUUAUUCUUUUAGAAAGUCCUUGUUUUAAUGGAUUUUUCAAAUGAUCAACAAGGUGCCUUACAUAUGCACAGAUCACAAGUUUAAUAAGAAAUAGAAAUAUGUACCAAUUACCCGCUUUAAUAUUAUGAAGAGAACACAAGUGGGAUAGAGAUCAAAAGGAAAAUAGGGCUUUAGGGGUUAAAGAGGAGGAGAAACUUUUUUUUUAUUUUUUUUUAGUGUUUUUCUGUUUCUGUUG